rnacentral:rRNA from 1 species
CGAAAGCCUGACGCAGCGACGCCGCGUGCGGGAAGAAGGCCUUCGGGUUGUAAACCGCUUUCAGGAGGGACGAAGCCACUCGGGCGAAUAGCCCAGAGGGUGACGGUACUUCCAGAAGAAGCCCCGGCUAACUACGUGCCAGCAGCCGCGGUAAUACGUAGGGGGCAAGCGUUGUCCGGAUUUAUUGGGCGUAAAGAGCGUGUAGGCGGUCAGGUAGGUCGGUUGUGAAAACUGGAGGCUCAACCUUCAGAGGUCGACCGAAACCCCCUGGCUAGAGUCCGGGAGAGGAGAGUGGAAUUCCUGGUGUAGCGGUGAAAUGCGCAGAUAUCAGGAAGAACACCCGUGGCGAAAGCAGCUCUCUGGAACGGUACUGACGCUGAGACGCGAAAGCGUGGGGAGCGAACAGGAUUAGAUACCCUGGUAGUCCACGCCGUAAACGAUGGGCGCUAGGUGUGGGAGGUGUCGACUCCUUCCGUGCCGAAGCUAACGCAUUAAGCGCCCCGCCUGGGGAGUACGGCCGCAAGGCUA